rnacentral:rRNA from 1 species
GACGAACGCUGGCGGCGUGCUUAAUACAUGCAAGUAGAACGCAAAGUUCCUACUGUUGCUUGCUACACCAUAGACUGUGAGUUGAGUACGGGUGAGUAACGCGUAGGUAACCUGCCGGGUAGCGGGGGAAAACUAUCGCAAACGAUAGAUAAUACCGCAUAAUAUUGAUUAUUGCAUGAUAAUUGAUUGAAAGUUGCUAUUGCCUCGCUAGCGGAUGGACCUGCGUUGUAUCAGCUAGUAGGCGAGGCAGCGGCUUACCAAGGCGUUGAGGGGUAGCCGGACUGGGAGGGUGACCGGCCACAUUGGGACUGAGAUACGGCCCAGACUCCUACGGGAGGCAGCAGUGGGGAAUAUUGUACAAUGGGCGGAAGCCUGAUGCAGCAACGCCGCGUGCGGGAUGAAGGCCUUAGGGUUGUAAACCGCUUUCGCCUGUGACGAAGCGUGAGUGACGGUAAUGGGUAAAGAAGCACCGGCUAACUACGUG